UUAGAAGCAGCCAUCAUUUAAAGAGUGCGUAAUAGCUCACUAGUCGAGUGACACUGCGCCGAAAAUGUACCGGGGCUAAACAUAUUACCGAAGCUGUGGAUUGUCCUUUGGACAAUGGUAGGAGAGCGUUCUAAGGGCGUUGAAGCAUGAUCGCAAGGACAUGUGGAGCGCUUAGAAGUGAGAAUGCCGGUGUGAGUAGCGAAAGACGGGUGAGAAUCCCGUCCACCGAUUGACUAAGGUUUCCAGAGGAAGGCUCGUCCGCUCUGGGUUAGUCGGGUCCUAAGCUGAGGCCGACAGGCGUAGGCGAUGGAUAACAGGUUGAUAUUCCUGUACCACCUAUAAUCGUUUUAAUCGAUGGGGGGACGCAGUAGGAUAGGCGAAGCGUACGAUUGGAUUGUACGUCUAAGCAGUGAGAUUGAGUGUUAGGCAAAUCCGGCACUCUUAAGAUUGAGCUGUGAUGGGGAGAGGAAAUUGUUUCCUCGAGUCGUUGAUUUCACACUGCCGAGAAAAGCCUCUAGAUAGAGAUUAGGUGCCCGUACCGCAAACCGACACAGGUAGUCAAGAUGAGAAUUCUAAGGUGAGCGAGCGAACUCUCGUUAAGGAACUCGGCAAAAUGACCCCGUAACUUCGGGAGAAGGGGUGCUCUUUAGGGUGCAAGCCCAGAAGAGCCGCAGUGAAUAGGCCCAAGCGACUGUUUAUCAAAAACACAGGUCUCUGCUAAACCGUAAGGUGAUGUAUAGGGGCUGACGCCUGCCCGGUGCUGGAAGGUUAAGAGGAGUGGUUAGCUUCUGCGAAGCUACGAAUCGAAGCCCCAGUAAACGGCGGCCGUAACUAUAACGGUCCUAAGGUAGCGAAAUUCCUUGUCGGGUAAGUUCCGACCCGCACGAAAGGCGUAACGAUUUGGGCACUGUCUCAACGAGAGACUCGGUGAAAUCAUAGUACCUGUGAAGAUGCAGGUUACCCGCGACAGGACGGAAAGACCCCGUGGAGCUUUACUGUAGCCUGAUAUUGAAAUUCGGCACAGCUUGUACAGGAUAGGUAGGAGCCUUUGAAACGUGAGCGCUAGCUUACGUGGAGGCGUUGGUGGGAUACUACCCUAGCUGUGUUGGCUUUCUAACCCGCACCACUUAUCGUGGUGGGAGACAGUGUCAGGCGGGCAGUUUGACUGGGGCGGUCGCCUCCUAAAAGGUAACGGAGGCGCUCAAAGGUUCCCUCAGAAUGGUUGGAAAUCAUUCAUAGAGUGUAAAGGCAUAAGGGAGCUUGACUGCGAGACCUACAAGUCGAGCAGGGUCGAAAGACGGACUUAGUGAUCCGGUGGUUCCGCAUGGAAGGGCCAUCGCUCAACGGAUAAAAGCUACCCCGGGGAUAACAGGCUUAUCUCCCCCAAGAGUUCACAUCGACGGGGAGGUUUGGCACCUCGAUGUCGGCUCAUCGCAUCCUGGGGCUGUAGUCGGUCCCAAGGGUUGGGCUGUUCGCCCAUUAAAGCGGUACGCGAGCUGGGUUCAGAACGUCGUGAGACAGUUCGGUCCCUAUCCGUCGUGGGCGUAGGAAAUUUGAGAGGAGCUGUCCUUAGUACGAGAGGACCGGGAUGGACAUACCUCUGGUGUACCAGUUGUCGUGCCAACGGCAUAGCUGGGUAGCUAUGUAUGGACGGGAUAAGUGCUGAAAGCAUCUAAGCAUGAAGCCCCCCUCAAGAUGAGAUUUCCCAACUUCGGUUAUAAGAUCCCUCAGAGAUGAUGAGGUUAAUAGGUUCGAGGUGGAAGCGUGGUGACACGUGGAGCUGACGAAUACUAAUCGAUCGAAGACUUAAUCAAUUU
rnacentral:rRNA from 1 species